rnacentral:rRNA from 1 species
UACGUAGGGGGCAAGCGUUGUCCGGAUUUAUUGGGCGUAAAGAGCGUGUAGGCGGCCUGAAAGGUCAGCUGUGAAAACUCGAGGCUCAACCUCGAGACGUCGGUUGAAACCAUCUGGCUAGAGUCCGGAAGAGGAGAGUGGAAUUCCCCGGUGUAGCGGUGAAAUGCGCAGAUAUCGGGAAGAACACCCGUGGCGAAGGCGGCUCUCUGGGACGGUACUGACGCUGAGACGCGAAAGCGUGGGGAGCGAACAGG